CGGACAAGUGGUAACAAAGUAACACAGACCUGAAUGGUGAUGAGCCUUCCGGAUCGGACAAAUCUCAACCAUGUGAAACAGUCACUGAAUGGGUGUUACAGGGUAGAUCGGGACGAUUAUCAUGGCAAGCAACGCCUGUCAAAUGCAGGAGCAGGGCAGCAGUGGUUCGCUAUCAUCACUAGCACAGGUAGCAACAAGGAGCGCAAAAUCAGAGGACAGAAACUCAAACGAAGAUGUUUCUAAUGCACACAACAGGAGAGAGAUUACCCCCAGAAGACAGCCAUACAGAAAAGUGUCUUCAGAUCCAGCAGGUCCAAAAGUUGAAGAGAUAAAAGAAGAGGUAGCGCCUUGCAGUGUCCCACCAGGGCCCGGCAUGCCAGCCUCUAUUUAUCAGACAAACCAUGGCCAGUUCAGUAAGUCUCACUGGAAGGGACAUGUGUUUCAAAAAUAAAUAUGUUUAUUAAAAAAUC